ACAAAAUAGGUUAAUUAAGAGGCAAUUUUUUUCAAUGUCACGUAUUUGCAAUGAAAAGUGUUCAAAACCUAAAAUCUUUUUGGCGUUCCUCUCAAAAUUACUUUGUUUUAGCUUUAUUCUCUAGUUUAUAGAGUUAGCUACCUUUUUAAAUGCAUCUGCCAGUUGAGAAACAUAAAAUAAUAGUUAAAAAUUGUCAAUUAAAAUA